rnacentral:rRNA from 1 species
GACGAACCGUGCGAACGUUGUUCGGAAUCACUGGGCUUAAAGGGCGCGUAGGCGGGCCGCCAAGUCUGUGGUGAAAUCCCCCGGCUCAACCGGGGAACGGCCGCGGAUACUGGAGGUCUCGAGGGAGGUAGGGGCAUGCGGAACUACGGGUGGAGCGGUGAAAUGCGUUGAUAUCCGUAGGAACGCCGGUGGCGAAGGCGGCGUGCUGGACCUCUUCUGACGCUGAGGCGCGAAAGCCAGGGGAGCGAACGGG